rnacentral:rRNA from 1 species
GAUGAACGCUGGCGGCGUGCCUAAUACAUGCAAGUAGAACGCUGAAGGAGGAGCUUGCUCUUCUGGAUGAGUUGCGAACGGGUGAGUAACGCGUAGGUAACCUGCCUGGUAACGGGGGAUAACUAUUGGAAACGAUAGCUAAUACCGCAUGACAACAGUUAUUGCAUGAUAACUGUUUAAAAGGGGCAACUGCUCCACUACCAGAUGGACCUGCGUUGUAUUAGCUAGUUGGUGAGGUAACGGCUCACCAAGGCGACGAUACAUAGCCGACCUGAGAGGGUGAUCGGCCACACUGGGACUGAGACACGGCCCAGACUCCUACGGGAGGCAGCAGUAGGGAAUCUUCGGCAAUGGACGGAAGUCUGACCGAGCAACGCCGCGUGAGUGAAGAAGGUUUUCGGAUCGUAAAGCUCUGUUGUAAGAGAAGAACGAGUGUGAGAGUGGAAAGUUCACACUGUGACGGUAUCUUACCAGAAAGGGACGGCUAACUACGUG